GGCCCCGUAGCUCAACUGGAUAGAGCGCAUCCCUCCUAAGGAUGAGGCUACAGGUUCAAGUCCUGUCGGGGUCACCA
rnacentral:tRNA from 1 species